AAAAAGUUUAAAACUCGAACAUCAUAUUCAGACAUUUCAUCCUCAACUUCUGAAGGUCCUGAACUUUCGAUGCUUACUUCCUCUAUUUUAUCAGAAUUUUCGGGAAUAGAAUUAUCGAUGUUAGCAUCUGUAGUACACGCUGUAGGUGAUUGGCCUAACAAGUCAUCUUCAUUCGUUUCUUCAUCUGAAAGUUCAAUAACACGAAGCGGCUUUUUCUUUUGCCCUUGUUUAGUUCCUUCUUCUACAUAACGUUUCCUUUUUGCGUUCUCCUUGUCUACCGAGGACUUUUCAAUGGGCUGGUUGUUCAGCUUUUGGGCUGACUUGUUGAUUGUCGAGUUACCUCGUCCUAGCAACUUCUGAAACGUAAGCUUAUGGAUAGUUAUGUUUUCCCUCCAGUUGAAUUUUUCUAAUGUUGCAAUUAUCAUUUCUGAAUCUAAGGCUGGAAAUCGUUUUUUUACAGCAUUAAUUUUCGUAAUUUGUUCGCUGUCAAAAAAGUUUGAGGGGUUUAUUUUGUUCGAAGAUUCUUUUAAACUCACAUCGCGUUCAGGAGGCUGAUCGUGAGGAUCGUACGCCGCGUAGCUGCUCUCAACAUACUUUUUAUGAUCGGUUGUGUCAAAAAAAAUACGAGAUUGCAUAGCCAACUGCCCAAAUUUUUUCCCGUUAGCCCUUGAGGAGGUAGUUGAAUAAUUUUUGAAACUUCCUGACAGGUCUAAUUGUUGAAUAGGACUACAUUCAAUGGGAGAGCUCGUAAGCAAAUAAUAAUUUUCUUCGCGUAUAGGAGUUGAAGGAGGUGAAGAGCUUGGUAUGCAAAUUAAUUCUUUAUUAUCUUUUCUCUUCAUGAAAACCCUCUCUUUUCUAUAAUCUAUUUCACUUAAUCUCUUAUUGUUUAAUUUGUGUUUUGAUCAAGUUUCGCUUUCGACUCAGGUGUUUAGCUGCUUAAGGAGCGCAACUACCUUAGCUUUAGAAGAGAAACCGAGAGUAUAUUAAUUUAGGCUGGAUAGAAUACUACGCUAAAACAUAAUUCCACAAAAUAUGAAAAAUUAAAUUUCUUAAAUUUUGUUGCCCACGAUUUAUAUUCUACUUUAUUUUCGAUCAAACUUCAGGUAUCAAGCCCGUGAAUUUAAUACUAGCGAAAUACAACAUUUACUUGUUGAGUAAAUUUGAAGCCGCAUACACAUCUGAAUUAAUUUUAGUUAAUUAUCUCGUACUUUCUGUGCAAAGUAUCAUAUCAGGGUAUCGACUAUUCUAAUAAAUUUAUUUUCCCACAUAAAAACCUAAACCAUUCACCAGUUUAAAACAAAACACGCGUAACUAAUACCUAUUUCCUAAAUUUCUUCUUGGAAGAAGGCUUUUCUUUUGUUUUUUUAUCUGAAGCGUCCAAAGAAUUAUUUUUUCUCUUUUCCCCUUUAAUGCUGACCACCCUAGCGCCUUUUCCAUUUGUCUUUUGGAUUUGAUUUUCUGCAGCCUUCCAAUCCUCUUCGUUUCCACGAAUGGCAUAUUUUUCCAAAUCUAUAGCAUUGAUCAACUCUCUUUGCUUUUCACGUAAAGCAAGCAUAGCCUCAUCUGCUCCUUCCUGUAGCUCUUCCUCCAAGGAUUGCUGGAGAGGAGUAAACUCAGGAAGUUUAGAAUUACUACUUUCCGUUUUCUUAUUCGAACCUAAUUCUUCUUCGAUGUCCUUCGUUUCAAUUUCAUCUAUACACUUCAUAAUUUUCUUGGACAACUUGACUAACAUCGCCAAUAAUUGGUUUGAGGGUAAGUUGAACUCCUUUUCAAGUGUAUCGAUAGUCUUAUACUGCAAUCCCAAAGCUAAUAAUACAGAUUGCUGAACUGGAGACAGCUUAACAGAAUCAGGGAAUUUACCGCUGAAGUAAAGAUGGGCCAACUUUGGAAGCAAAUCAACAAUAACAUGGUAAUCGAGCAAAUUAUUAGAAUAAGACUC